rnacentral:rRNA from 1 species
CUUUUACAAUGAAGAGUUUGAUCCUGGCUCAGGAUGAACGCUAGCUACAGGCUUAACACAUGCAAGUCGAGGGGCAUCAGGAAGAAAGCUUGCUUUCUUUGCUGGCGACCGGCGCACGGGUGAGUAACACGUAUCCAACCUGCCCUUUACUCGGGGAUAGCCUUUCGAAAGAAAGAUUAAUACCCGAUAGUAUAAUGAUUCCGCAUGGUUUCAUUAUUAAAGGAUUCCGGUAAAGGAUGGGGAUGCGUUCCAUUAGGUUGUUGGUGAGGUAACGGCCCACCAAGCCUUCGAUGGAUAGGGGUUCUGAGAGGAAGGUCCCCCACAUUGGAACUGAGACACGGUCCAAACUCCUACGGGAGGCAGCAGUGAGGAAUAUUGGUCAAUGGGCGCUAGCCUGAACCAGCCAAGUAGCGUGAAGGAUGAAGGCUCUAUGGGUCGUAAACUUCUUUUAUAUAAGAAUAAAGUGCAGUAUGUAUACUGUUUUGUAUGUAUUAUAUGAAUAAGGAUCGGCUAACUCCGUGCCAGCAGCCGCGGUAAUACGGAGGAUCCGAGCGUUAUCCGGAUUUAUUGGGUUUAAAGGGAGCGUAGGUGGACUGGUAAGUCAGUUGUGAAAGUUUGCGGCUCAACCGUAAAAUUGCAGUUGAUACUGUCAGUCUUGAGUACAGUAGAGGUGGGCGGAAUUCGUGGUGUAGCGGUGAAAUGCUUAGAUAUCACGAAGAACUCCGAUUGCGAAGGCAGCUCACUGGACUGCAACUGACACUGAUGCUCGAAAGUGUGGGUAUCAAACAGGAUUAGAUACCCUGGUAGUCCACACAGUAAACGAUGAAUACUCGCUGUUUGCGAUAUACAGUAAGCGGCCAAGCGAAAGCAUUAAGUAUUCCACCUGGGGAGUACGCCGGCAACGGUGAAACUCAAAGGAAUUGACGGGGGCCCGCACAAGCGGAGGAACAUGUGGUUUAAUUCGAUGAUACGCGAGGAACCUUACCCGGGCUUAAAUUGCAGUGGAAUGAUGUGGAAACAUGUCAGUGAGCAAUCACCGCUGUGAAGGUGCUGCAUGGUUGUCGUCAGCUCGUGCCGUGAGGUGUCGGCUUAAGUGCCAUAACGAGCGCAACCCUUAUCUUCAGUUACUAACAGGUCAUGCUGAGGACUCUGGAGAGACUGCCGUCGUAAGAUGUGAGGAAGGUGGGGAUGACGUCAAAUCAGCACGGCCCUUACGUCCGGGGCUACACACGUGUUACAAUGGGGGGUACAGAAGGCAGCUAGCGGGUGACCGUAUGCUAAUCCCAAAAUCCUCUCUCAGUUCGGAUCGAAGUCUGCAACCCGACUUCGUGAAGCUGGAUUCGCUAGUAAUCGCGCAUCAGCCACGGCGCGGUGAAUACGUUCCCGGGCCUUGUACACACCGCCCGUCAAGCCAUGGGAGCCGGGGGUACCUGAAGUACGUAACCGCAAGGAUCGUCCUAGGGUAAAACUGGUGACUGGGGCUAAGUCGUAACAAGGUAGCCGUACCGGAAGGUGCGGCUGGAACACCUCCUUUCU